rnacentral:rRNA from 1 species
CCUACGGGUGGCAGCAGUGGGGAAUAUUGCACAAUGGGGGAAACCCUGAUGCAGCGACGCCGCGUGAGUGAAGAAGCGCCCCGGCGCGUAAAGCUUUGUCAGCAGGAACGAUAAUGACGGUACCUGAAGAAGAAGCCCCGGCUAACUACGUGCCAGCAGCCGCGGUAAUACGUAGGGGGCAAGCGUUAUCCGGAUUGACUGGGUGUAAAGGGAGCGUAGACGGCGGGAAAAGUCUGGUGGUAAAGGCCGGGGCCCAACCCCGGGACCGCACUUGAUACUUCCCGGCUGGAAUGCGGGAGAGGGAAGCGGAAUUCCUAGUGUAGCGGUGAAAUGCGUAGAUAUUAGGAGGAACACCAGCGGCGAAGGCGGCUUACUGGACCGUGACUGACGUUGAGGCUCGAAAGCGUGGGGAGCAAACAGGAUUAGAUACCCGUGUAGUC